rnacentral:rRNA from 1 species
CAACCUGCCGACAACACUGGGAUAGCCUUUCGAAAGAAAGAUUAAUACCGGAUGGUAUAGUUUUCCCGCAUGGGAUGAUUAUUAAAGAAUUUCGGUUGUCGAUGGGGAUGCGUUCCAUUAGGCAGUUGGCGGGGUAACGGCCCACCAAACCUACGAUGGAUAGGGGUUCUGAGAGGAAGGUCCCCCACAUUGGAACUGAGACACGGUCCAAACUCCUACGGGAGGCAGCAGUGAGGAAUAUAGGUCAAUGGACGAGAGUCUGAACCAGCCAAGUAGCGUGAAGGAUGACUGCCCUAUGGGUUGUAAACUUCUUUUAUACGGGAAUAAAGUGAGCCACGUGUGGCUUUUUGUAUGUACCGUAUGAAUAAGGAUCGGCUAACUCCGUGCCAGCAGCCGCGGUAAUACGGAGGAUCCGAGCGUUAUCCGGAUUUAUUGGGUUUAAAGGGAGCGUAGGCGGGUUGUUAAGUCAGUUGUGAAAGAUUGCGGCUCAACCGUAAAAUUGCAGUUGAUACUGGCGACCUUGAGUGCAACAGANGUAGGCGGAAUUCGUGGUGUAGCGGUGAAAUGCUUAGAUGUCACGAAGAACUCCGAUUG